rnacentral:lncRNA from 1 species
CAUAAGGGAACCAUGGAAAUAACUCUUCUGUUACUAACACAGACUGCAGUAGGGGCCCUGCUGCCUCAGGCAAUAUGAAACCACAGCAUGGUGUGACAAGCAAAGAGAAGAGUAGUAAUCCAUUAUAUAAAUAUACCAUUAUUCAUUUAUCUGUUUACCCAUUGAUGGCAUUUGGAAUAUUUCCAGUUCGGGACUUUAAUGAAUAAAGUUGCUAUUGCCAUUGUAUGGUGGUGGGAACCAACAGCCCUGGAGAAUGCCCCAGAUGGUGGGGCAUCUAUUUGGUGCAUGUUUAGGUUUGCCUGUCUACAUGCUAGCAAAUCUCUGAAGACAGCCAAAGCCUUCGGAAGGUCUUGUGAGGCUCUGAGGACUGAUAUAUGUGAGAAGAGCCUAGACUAAAUGCAGUUCCAGGAUCAUGUCACAUGCAUGAUCCAGUGUCUCCAGUGGAGACUUGGACUUAGAAGAUGCCCCCUAAAUACCUGUUGAAUACAAUUUAAAAAGAUGUUAAUUAUAAAAUAUUUCAUGGAGGUAGAACAUUUUUAUUAAUUUAUUCACUAAAUAUUUAUUGAGUAUUAUAAUUUUUUUGGCAAAAAAAAGCAUGAUACCAUUUUAGAACAAAACAAUUGGAGAGAGGGGAGGGAUUGUACUCAAAUAGCUAAACUUCAUAACUCGACACCUGUGUCAGGAAAGGUCACCUUUGCUCAAUAAAUACUUGAUAAUUUGCUGUCUAGAAUUAGUCAUGAUGUAUAAUUUAAC